UGGAGAGUUUGAUCCUGGCUCAGGACGAACGCUGGCGGCGUGCUUAACACAUGCAAGUCGAACGGAAAGGUCUCUUCGGAGAUACUCGAGUGGCGAACGGGUGAGUAACACGUGGGCAAUCUGCCCUGCACUUCGGGAUAAGCCUGGGAAACUGGGUCUAAUACCGGAUAGGACCACUUGGCGCAUGCCUUGUGGUGGAAAGCUUUUGCGGUGUGGGAUGGGCCCGCGGCCUAUCAGCUAGUUGGUGGGGUGAUGGCCUACCAAGGCGACGACGGGUAGCCGGCCUGAGAGGGUGUCCGGCCACACUGGGACUGAGAUACGGCCCAGACUCCUACGGGAGGCAGCAGUGGGGAAUAUUGCACAAUGGGCGCAAGCCUGAUGCAGCGACGCCGCGUGGGGGAUGACGGCCUUCGGGUUGUAAACCUCUUUCAGCAGGGACGAAGCGCAAGUGACGGUACCUGCAGAAGAAGCACCGGCCAACUACGUGCCAGCAGCCGCGGUA
rnacentral:rRNA from 1 species